UAUAUAUCAUAUCAUAUGGUCCUACUACUCUUUCUUAAUUAUCGAAAUGCUUAAUGCUGGCGUAAGGGCAUACGUUUUCUUCGGGAGUGGACUAUCAACCCAACGUGUUGUUAGGCUCAGUAGAGUUGUGGUACAAAAGAAAAGGUGGUUGCAAGGAAGUUUUGUAUGCAGAGAGCUCAUUGUAGGAGAAGGUGGGCAGUCAAUGGAUAAUUUUGAUAAGAGGAAUUAGACAUAUUCUUUGACAGAUAAAUCUCCAAGGCUGGAGCUUAAAUGCUGUAAAACAUUGAAAGAGAAUAUCAAGUAGCUUAUGCUGGGUUAUUGAUGGAAGAUGUGAUUUGCAAAUUGUCUCACUAUCUAUAUUUAUGAAUGUUGAGAAAAGAAGACAUUUGAGGUCUUCUACUAAGGAAAUUGUAUGAUCGCAAGUUGUUUUGAGAGCCAUAAUUUAAGAAAAAAGUCUUAUAAUUAGAUUGUUUCAUUUCAUGUUUGUCAUACAACUUUCAUAUAUGAAUAGUGGACAAUUAUAUUGUUUUCAAGUUUGUUUUUCGCUGAGAUAUUGUUUUCAAGUUUGUAAUUGCAAAUAUUAUCUUCAAGCCAAUUAGGAUACAAUAAAGCAUGCUUGAGUUUUCAUGAUUAUAUAUAGAGGUGGACCUCA